CACAUCAAAAUCCGAUUAACAAUCCAUUCCCAACUCUUCACAAUUAAAAAUAAUAUAAAAUAGUUAAAAAGUAAAAGUGAUUACAUAAUAACUCAUAAACAUUAAAAUAAUCUUCCAUAGUAUGAUAUCAUUCUAUAACAACCCUCCAAUUACAAAGAAAGAUAACAACAACAAAAUUCCCUUAAAGAAAACUACCAUUGACUGUACUAGUAGGGCUCACGACCUCAAUUUGUUAUUUGCCAAUUCCU
rnacentral:lncRNA from 1 species